UCUGGCCAGCAAGGCAAAGUCACCUCUGCCUUCCACCGUGCGGGUGGGGGAGGCAGUAAAGUGAGAACAGGAAUCACCCUGGAAAGAAGCAGGGUGGAUUUAGCAUCUGCUAACCCACUCCUCUGGGUUCCCCAGGCCCAAGAGAAAGUUGAGGAGCUCUGACCACUAAUCGGAAGCUGGGGACAGGGCUCAGGGGCAUGGCUUGGGACAGGUCUCUGCGUGUCACAGUACACAUUUGGAAGUGAGAAGAUGGCUUUUGGAGUCAGUUCUUCUUUACCAGGUUUGGAACCCAGAGCUAAGUGCCCUUCACUACGAAACCUAUCUCAUGGUGACCGUCGUUUUUGUUCGUGGACUGUAAAUGAAGAACACUGUCCCGGCUUGAGAUGACGCCUAGGGAUGCCCAGAGGGAGGGAUGACAUCAUUUGGAGGCGGCAACACUCCCAAGUGUAAGACUACAUUUCCCAGAGUCCCUUGCAACUAGGAAGCCUACAGCCAGUAGGGCCCUUGAGGUGACUGAGGAACUGGAAGCCCUAAGCUAAAGAAGAAGCAAUAAGACAGAAGGUUCUGAUACUGAAGACUGUGUGGGGAUUCUAUUCAACAAUGUACUUCUUAGAAUUUUUUAAAAUAUCCAUAUAAUCUACUCCUAAAGUAUCAACCCUCUUUUAUCUCCCUGUCCCUUGAAAAUGUUUUUUGAGAUAAGGUCUCAAGUAAACAAAGCUGGUCUUGAACCUCGUUGCAUAGACUGCCCUGUGCUUUGAACCCCUGAUCCUCCUGCCUCCAGAUCUGCUGGCAUUACGAGCAUACACACCAUGAUGGUUGCAUUCUUGAUGUAAUGGCUGAGAUCUAGAAGGUGCUGGACAGCCCCUUGAGAAAUACCGUUCUCUGAGGGGAAGUAGCCCUGCCUUAGGGCAAGGGUAAGGGCAGGAGCUACCCAGCAAACAGGGUCCUCUCCUACUCCACACUUUCUAUUUGUACCCGUAGAGGUCUGGUCUUUAUCCCUCUGGGGAGCAGGGCACCCCUCCAUGUUAGCUGCAGACCUGUGCGAAAUCUCCAGGUACUACCCUGGAGCAGAGGGCAUGGGUCAAGCAUCCCUAAGUGUACAUGCGCCCAUGCUCUGGGGUGACAACCAAAAGCAGGGGGGCCUAGCUGCACUUGACCCAACUGGCGGCGGUGGAAGGAGAGGCUGACAACCACGUGCAUUCAUCCUGACGUUUAUGGACUGGGUAGCUCUCCCACAGCUCGGCACUAAAUCUAGAUGGAGGCAGGAUGGCGGGACCGCGGUCUGCAUCCCUACUACAGAAGUGAAUACCGGGUGCCUCGGAAGACUCACAAUAUACGGUCAAGUUCAGGGGCUCGCUGCGGCUGACGCUGACGGGGUUCCACACCUCGCACUGGUAGGCGCCCGCCUCCUCCCUGCGGACGCCGUGCCGGGUCAACAUUCUGCCAUCGGGAGACAGGCCCAAGCGGACAGCAACAGGCAGAGCGUCGCCAUUGAAGAACCAGCGGACCUCAGCGGGGCUGGGGCUGCUGCACACUAGACGAAGGGUGUCCCUACGCUCCACCAGCGCAGUGUCGUUAGCCAUGACCGUGGGAGGAGCCAGAAUCUCUAUGAGGGGGAGCAAGAAACAGAGGGGGAGGGGAGGGGCACCUCCUGUCCCCGGGGCAAGAAGCACCACCAAGCUUUGCUUCUGUACCCCCAGCCACAGUGACAAAGAAGACAGACAUUAUCCUGGAAGCCAGAAUGGAGAAGGUGAGCAUUUUAGUGUUAUUUUAGGCACCCCCACACCCUGUUUUAAGGGGCUGGCAAGAUGGUUCAGUGGGUAAAAGCACUUGCCACCAAACCUAACGACCUGAGUUGGAUCCCUGGGUUCCACAUGAUAGAAGGAAAAGAACUGACUCUUGAAAGUUGUCCUCUGACCUCCACGUGUUUAUUUAAAAUACAUGAACGUUCAGGUACACACACGCACACGCACACGCACACGCAUAAACACAUUCAAUAAAUGCAAUUAUAAAGAA